CCUACGGGGGGCUGCAGUGGGGAAUAUUGGACAAUGGGCGCAAGCCUGAUCCAGCAAUACCGCGUGUGUGAAGAAGGCCUGAGGGUUGUAAAGCCCUUUUAAUCGGGAGGAAUAGCGGUCGGUUAAUACCCGGUCGUCUGACAUUACCGAUAGAAAAAGCACCGGCUAACUCCGUGCCAGCAGCCGCGGUAAUACGGAGGGUGCACGCGGUAAUCGGAAUUACUGGGCGUGGUUGGUGAAGUCGCAGGUGAAAGCCCCGGGCUUAACCUGGGAAAGGCAUUUGAAACUGAUCGACUAGAGUUGGGUAGAGGGGAGUGGAAUUUCAGGUGUAGCGGUGAAAUGCGUAGAUAUCUGAAGGAACACCAGUGGCGAAGGCGGCUCCCUGGACCCAAACUGACGCUGAGGCACGAAAGCGUGGGUAGCAAACAGGAUUAGAUACCCUAGUAGUC
rnacentral:rRNA from 1 species